rnacentral:lncRNA from 1 species
UUUCCACACAAUGGUUUGUAUUGGCCCCGAAUAUUUUGUAUAAUGUUAUCAUAUCCCCUCUCAGGCGACGUUUUUCUAAACUAAAUAGGUUUAAAUUUGUUAACCUUUCUUCAUAGCCGAUAUGUUCCAUUCCUUUUAUUAAUUUUGUAGCCCGCCUCUGCACUUUUUCUAGUGCCAUAAUAUCCUUCUUUAGAACAGGUGCCCAAAAUUGCACAGCAUAUUCAAUAUGGGGUCUUACCAGUGAUUUAUAAAGAGGCAUAAUUAUAUUCUUGUCCUGAGAAUGAAUGCCCUUUUUCAUGCAUGACAAUACCUUACUGGCCUUGGCCACUGCUGAUUGACAUUGCACAUUGUUGCAUAGUUUGUUGUCUAUAACAAUUCCCAAGUCCUUUUCAUGUGUUGUUAUCCCUAAU